UCUUUCUUUCCUUUCUUUUUUUUUUUUUGCUUCUUAUUUCUUUCCUUUGUUCUCCCUUCCCUUCCUUUCUUUCCUUUUCUUCUCCCUUCCCUUCCUUUCUUUCUUUUCUCUUUCUUCUUCUUACCUGCAUGGAUGAGCUUUAGGAUGUCACCAUUCUCUCAAUCCUAUUUCCUUACAGGAAUGGGACGGGAUGGUCGGGAUGCCCCUCGUCCUGCUAGGAUUUAAAUAUUGAUGUGGAGAACGAUGAAAUCAAUUGACAAGGGAUCUAUCUUGUCACAAGGGAUACAUCAAUCAACAUAGAUGGGAAAAGCAAAGGGUGGAUCAAUUUUCAUCAAGCUGGUUUCAGCUGCAGGAACUGGAUUUUUCUCCGUUAAGCGAAAGAAUCCUCGGAGAAUCACAGAGAAACUCGAGUUUCGUAAGUACGACCCGCGAGUGAAUAAGCAUGUUCUCUUCACAGAGGCAAAGAUGAAGUGAUGUCUUUCAUGUUUCUUUCCAAGCACUGUCCAAUGCAGUCUCUUGCUCAAAAUGUAUUAGCUGUGGCAACUUUCAAUCUCUUAUUGGAUGUACCGUCUAGAAUUCCAUAUGUAGCUGCCCAGCCAUAUCACUCAACCGUUGAACAAUUAUUUGGUAUUUCAUGUUUAUGGAAUCCGGCAAUUAAUGUCAUCUGGUUCAUAUAGUUUGUAGUUCA